rnacentral:rRNA from 1 species
ACCCGACUGCUAUCGGAUUGAGACUAAGCCGUGCGAGUCAACCCGCAAGGGUGGCGGACGGCUCAGUAACACGUAGUCAACCUGCCCUAGGGACGUGGAUAACCACGGGAAACUGUGGCUAAACCACGAUAGGUCAUCGCUGCUGGAAUGGGCAAUGGCUCAAACCUACAUGGCCCUAGGAUGGGACUGCGGCCGAUCAGGUCGUUGGCGGGGUAAUGGCCCACCAAGCCUGUAACCGGUACGGGCUCUGAGAGGAGGAGCCCGGAGAUGGGCACUGAGACAAGGGCCCAGGUCCUAUGGGACGCAGCAGGCGCGAAACCUUCGCAAUAGGCGAAAGCCUGACGAGGUUAAUCCGAGUGUUUUCUGCUAAAGGAAUCUUUUAUCAGCUCUAGAUAGGCUGAUGAAUAAGGGGUGGGCAAGCCUGGUGUCAGCCGCCGCGGUAAUACCAGCACCCCGAGUGGUCGGGAUGAUUAUUGGGCCUAAAGCAUCCGUAGCCGGUCCUACAAGUUUUUCGUUAAAUCCACCUGCUUAACAGUUGGGCUGCGGGAGAUACUGUAGGACUAGGAGGCGGGAGAGGCGAGGGGUAUUCCUUGGGUAGGGGUAAAAUCCACUGAUCCAUGGAGGACCACCAGUGGCGAAGGCGUCUCGCCAGAACGUGCUCGACGGUGAGGGAUGAAAGCUGGGGGAGCAAACCGGAUUAGAUACCCGGGUAGUCCCAGCUGUAAACGAUGCAGGCUCGGUGAUGGACUGGCUUCGAGCCAGUCCAGUGCCGCAGGGAAGCCGUUAAGCCUGCCGCCUGGGGAGUACGUACGCAAGUAUGAAACUUAAAGGAAUUGGCGGGGGAGCACCACAAGGGGGGAAGCCUGCGGUUUAAUUGGAGCUAAUGCCAGAAAUCUUACCCGGAGAGACAGCAGAAUGAAGGUCAAGCUGAAGACUUUACCAGACAAGCUGAGAGGUGGUGCAUGGCCGUCGCCAGCUCGUGCCGUGAGAUGUCCUGUUAAGUCAGGUAACGAGCGAGAUCCCUGCCUCUAGUUGCCACCAUUACUCUCAGGAGUAGUGGGGCGAAUUAGCGGGACCGCCGCAGUUAAUGCGGAGGAAGGAAGGGGCCACGGCAGGUCAGUAUGCCCCGAAACUCUGGGGCCACACGCGGGCUGCAAUGGUAAUGACAAUGGGUUCCGAAUCCGAAAGGAGGAGGUAAUCCCCAAACAUUACCACAGUUAUGACUGAGGGCUGCAACUCGCCCUCACGAAUAUGGAAUCCCUAGUAACUGCGUGUCAUUAUCGCGCGGUGAAUACGUCCCUGCUCCUUGCACACACCGCCCGUCGUUUCAUUGAAGUUUGCUUUGCGUGAGGUGGGUGCCUAAUUGGUAUUAUCGAACCGCGAGAUCAGCAAGGAGGGAGAA